GUGGGGAAUAUUGGACAAUGGGCGCAAGCCUGAUCCAGCCAUACCGCGUGGGUGAAGAAGGCCUUCGGGUUGUAAAGCCCUUUUGUUGGGAAAGAAAUCCUAUCGGUUAAUAACCGGUGGGGAUGACGGUACCCAAAGAAUAAGCACCGGCUAACUUCGUGCCAGCAGCCGCGGUAAUACGAAGGGUGCAAGCGUUACUCGGAAUUACUGGGCGUAAAGCGUGCGUAGGUGGUGGUUUAAGUCUGCUGUGAAAGCCCUGGGCUCAACCUGGGAAUUGCAGUGGAUACUGGAUUACUAGAGUGUGGUAGAGGGAUGCGGAAUUUCUGGUGUAGCAGUGAAAUGCGUAGAGAUCAGAAGGAACAUCCGUGGCGAAGGCGGCAUCCUGGGCCAACACUGACACUGAGGCACGAAAGCGUGGGGAGCAAACAGG
rnacentral:rRNA from 1 species